GUCAGGAUGGCCGAGUGGUCUAAGGCGCCAGACUCAAGUUCUGGUCCACGGAUGUGGUCGUGGGUUCGAAUCCCACUUCUGACA
rnacentral:tRNA from 1 species